rnacentral:rRNA from 1 species
AUUGAACGCUGGCGGCAUGCUUUACACAUGCAAGUCGAACGGUAACAGGUCUUCGGAUGCUGACGAGUGGCGAACGGGUGAGUAAUGCAUCGGAACGUGCCCAGUCGUGGGGGAUAACGCAGCGAAAGCUGUGCUAAUACCGCAUACGAUCUAUGGAUGAAAGCGGGGGACCGUAAGGCCUCGCGCGAUUGGAGCGGCCGAUGUCAGAUUAGGUAGUUGGUGGGGUAAAGGCUCACCAAGCCGACGAUCUGUAGCUGGUCUGAGAGGACGACCAGCCACACUGGGACUGAGACACGGCCCAGACUCCUGCGGGAGGCAGCAGUGGGGAAUUUUGGACAAUGGGCGCAAGCCUGAUCCAGCAAUGCCGCGUGCAGGAAGAAGGCCUUCGGGUUGUAAACUGCUUUUGUACGGAGCGAAAAGGCUCUCUCUAAUACAGGGGGCUCAUGACGGUACCGUAAGAAUAAGCACCGGCUAACUACGUGCCAGCAGCCGCGGUAAUAC